rnacentral:lncRNA from 1 species
UGUCACUGGUGUCUCCACUGUAACCUGGCCAGAGUAAUUGACUUCAGAUUUCAUGUCUGUUUCCCAAAGCUCUGGUAAUGCCUGUUUUAUGUUGUGAAUGCUUUCUAACGCAUAAUCUGCUCCUUUAGGUCUCUGGGAUGUGCCCACCUGCAGAUAUUAUUAUUCUUAGUCAUCUUCCUAUAUUCCAAGUGAUUGUUGUUUUUGUUAAUUAUUAAGAUAUUAAAUGUUUUAUACCAGCACAGUGUGAAGACCGACGCAUUUUCCUGCUUGGAUGUUGCGGACACUAUCAUCGAAGAACAACUGAAACAGCAUAAACCCCAACAUCAGUAGAUUGUAAAACCAACCAACCAUUGAAGUUGAAAAGAACAUCAUCUUACAGUUCUC